rnacentral:rRNA from 1 species
GAGGAAUAUUGGUCAAUGGGCGCGAGCCUGAACCAGCCAAGUAGCGUGCAGGAUGACGGCCCUAUGGGUUGUAAACUGCUUUUGUAUGGGGAUAAAGUCAAUCACGUGUGAUUGUUUGCAGGUACCAUACGAAUAAGGGCCGGCUAAUUCCGUGCCAGCAGCCGCGGUAGUACGGAAGGUCCGGGCGUUAUCCGGAUUUAUUGGGUUUAAAGGGAGCGUAGGCCGGAGAUUAAGUGUGUUGUGAAAUGUAGACGCUCAACGUCUGACUUGCAGCGUAUACUGGUUUCCUUGAGUACGCACAACGUUGGCGGAAUUCGUCGUGUAGCGGUGAAAUGCUUAGAUAUGACGAAGAACUCCGAUUGCGAAGGCAGCUGACGGGAGCGCAACUGACGCUGAAGCUCGAAGGUGCGGGUAUCGAACAGGAUUAGAUACCCUGGUAGUCCGCACAGUAAACGAUGGAUGCCCGCUGUUGGUACCUGGUAUCAGCGGCUAAGCGAAAGCAUUAAGCAUCCCACCUGGGGAGUACGCCGGCAACGGUG